AGAGUUUGAUCAUCGGCUCAGGAUGAACGCUAGCGGCAGGCUUAACACAUGCAAGUCGAGGGGUAGAGGAAGCCUUACUUCCUUGGAGACCGGCGCACGGGUGCGUAACGCGUAUGACAAUCUACCUUACACAGGGGGAUAGCCAGAGAAAUUUGGAUUAAUACCCCAUAGUAUAAUUGAAUGGCAUCAUUUAAUUAUUAAAGUUCCAACGGUAUAAGAUGAGCAUGCGUCCCAUUAGCUAGUUGGUGUGGUAACGGCACACCAAGGCGACGAUGGGUAGGGGUCCUGAGAGGGAGAUCCCCCACACUGGUACUGAGACACGGACCAGACUCCUACGGGAGGCAGCAGUGAGGAAUAUUGGUCAAUGGGCGCAAGCCUGAACCAGCCAUGCCGCGUGCAGGAUGACGGUCCUAUGGAUUGUAAACUGCUUUUGUACAGGAAGAAACACUCCCUCGUGAGGGAGCUUGACGGUACUGUAAGAAUAAGGAUCGGCUAACUCCGUG
rnacentral:rRNA from 1 species